CGUGCCUAACACAUGCAAGUCGUGCGAGAAAGACCCUUCCGGGGUGAGUACAGCGGCGGACGGGUGAGUAACACGUGAGUGAUCUACCCGGCGCGGGGGACAACCCAGGGAAACCUGGGCUAAUACCGCAUACAGCGGAGGGAGUAGGUGCCCUUCGUGAAAGCUGGCCUCUCCAUGGAAGCUAGCGUCGCCGGAGGAGCUCGCGGCCUAUCAGCUUGUUGGUGGGGUAACGGCCUACCAAGGCUAUGACGGGUAGCUGACGUGAGAGCGUGAGCAGCCACACUGGGACUGAGACACGGCCCAGACUCCUACGGGAGGCAGCAGUGGGGAAUAUUGCGCAAUGGGCGAAAGCCUGACGCAGCGACGCCGCGUGGGGGAGGAAGGCCUUAGGGUUGUAAACCCCUGUCAGGUGGGACGAACCCCGGGUCGGUAAAUAAUCGGCUCGACUGACGGUACCACCAGAGGAAGCUCCGGCUAACUCCGUG
rnacentral:rRNA from 1 species